ACAUCAUAUUUUCCUCUGUUUCGUGAUAACGCCAGCAUUUCCCCCGUCUCCCGGCCAUAUGUCGCCUCGUCGCUUCUAUCAGCGCCAUACAUCAGCAUGUGAGACGUAUCGGACGCAGUAGUCACAAUGAAGUUCACCAUCCUAGAAGUUGGAUUUCUUCUCGUGCUGGUGAGUUGGGCGGCCGCGUGCAGCAAUGAGGAGGCGGCCUUCUGUCCACACAUCAGCAGCCUCAUCUUCUCCAAGUUGACGUUUGUUGACCCGGGCAACAUUGACGCCGAAUGCAGCAAAUACAGUGAGCUGUUUACUUGUGCAAGGCAGCAUCUGGGUAACUGUAGUCAGAAAAGUCGACUGACGUGGCAGCCAAUCGCAAUGCAGAUUAACGACAUAUGUAACGAAUCAAAAGAAGCCUACGUGAAGACAGGCAGCUGUUGGAGUGAGCAAGAAAUCAACAUGGAGGUCGAUUUGUGCAACGACGACGUGAAGCGUGUAGACGGAUCCAAGAUGGAGAUGUGCAGAGCCCUGGACGAAUUCGUCACGUGUUGUCGGGUCGCUGCCAAGACGCUGUGUGGAGCAGAGGCAGAAACGGUGAUGCACAACUUGGCCACGACCUACGUCUCCAUGAGCAAAGGGGCCGUAUGUGCAACAACACAGUCACCUUCAUCAACAUCAACAACCGCAACAACAACGACAACAACGGCAACAACAACAAUAACAACAAUAACAGAAGCUCAAGAUGAGGCCUUGAUUAGCGACACGACUGAGGCCACGGUCAGCUUGUCGACAAUAAUGAAGUCAGACACCGCCCUUAGGGAAGCACACUCCGGAUGUCGCACGAGUUUUGAUUGUAAAAUUUUGUCCAUGAUAGUUUGUGUCCUCGCCAUUCUCAUCCAGCCCGGGUUUCCAUAAACUGACGCCAACUGGGGUAGAGGCAUAACCGGACAUGUAACACAAAUCAGUAAUCAGGUGCUAGGUGUGUUUGUAUAAAGUAAUCAGGUGCUAGGUAUGUUUGUAAUCAGUAAUCAGGUGCUAGGUAUGUUUGUAUGAAAGAAUCAGGUGCUAGGUAUGUUUGUAAUCAGUAAUCAGGUGCUAGGUAUGUUUGUAAUCAGUAAUCAGGUGCUAGGUAUGUUUGUAAACAGUAAUCAGGUGCUAGGUAUGUUUGUAUAAAAUAAUCAGCAGCUAGGUAUGUUUGUAUAAAGUAAUGUUCUGUAAUGGUACACUGGUACAAUGGACGCUGUGGUGAGAUAUGUAUAAUGUGAAAUUAUUCGGGGUGUUUUAAAGUUUUAAAUCAAGUUGCAUUUUGUUUAAAAUAAGAAAUUGCAAAGUUUCUUUGUGAGCUGACGGAGCGUCAGACAAGUUCUAUUUCUGGAUGUAAUAUCGCUGACUUGCUAUAUGUCCAGCUAAACAUCAAACUUGCGAUACAAUCAACUGAUAUUUGAUUUUUCUUGCUUCUGAGUUUGUGUCUACAUACGUAAUAUGUUUCACAGAAUUCAACAUAUAGGGCUAUUGUUUACAAGUAUACUUGUGGGGACCAUGGGACCAUUCAAUAUAUAGGGCUGUUGUUUACAAGUAUACUUGGGGACCAGGGGACCAUUCAACAUAUAGGGCUAUUGUUUACAAGUAUACUUGGGGACCAGGGGACCAUUCAAUAUAUUGGGCUAUUGUUUACAAGUAUACUUUGGGACCAGGGGACCAUUCAGUAUAUAGGGUUAUUGUUUACAAGUAUACUUGGGGACCAGGGGACCAUUCAAUAUAUUGGGCUAUUGUUUACAAGUAUACUUGGGGACCAGGGGACCAUUCAAUAUAUUGGGCUAUUGUUUACAAGUAUACUUGGGGAUCAGGGGACCAUUCAGUAUAUUGGGCUAUUGUUUACAAGUAUACUUGGGGAUCAGGGGACCAUUCAAUAUAUUGGGCUAUUGUUUACAAGUUUACUUGUGGGGACCAUGGGACCAUUCAAUAUAUAGGGCUUUGUUUACAAGUAUACUUGGGGACCAGGGGACCAUUCAACAUAUAGGGCUAUUGUUUACAAGUAUACUUGGGGACCAGGGGACCAUUCAAUAUAUUGGGCUAUUGUUUACAAGUAUACUUUGGGACCAGGGGACCAUUCAGUAUAUAGGGUUAUUGUUUACAAGCAUACUUGGGGACCAGGGGACCAUUCAAUAUAUUGGGCUAUUGUUUACAAGUAUACUUGGGGACCAGGGGACCAUUCAACAUAUAGGGCUAUUGUUUACAAGUAUACUUGGGGACCAGGGGACCAUUCAAUAUAUUGGGCUAUUGUUUACAAGUAUACUUUGGGGACCAGGGGACCAUUCAACAUAUAGGGCUAUUGUUUACAAGUAUACUUGGGGACCAGGGGACCAUUCAAUAUAUUGGGCUAUUGUUUACAAGUAUACUUGGGGAUCAGGGACCAUUCAA
rnacentral:misc_RNA from 1 species